CAUAAUUGAAUACGUAAUCCCGAGACAGCGGGUGUCCCGAUUAUAUCGGGACUUAAUUGAAAUGCCUGCCGAGGAUAAAAAGAUACAGUUUUUAUAAGUCCUCGUGCGUUUGGCAUGGGGACUUUCUUUUUACGUGA
rfam:Chloroflexi bacterium RBG_16_50_11 RBG_16_scaffold_32348, whole genome shotgun sequence.